GUGGGGAAUAUUGGACAAUGGGGGGAACCCUGAUCCAGCCAUGCCGCGUGUGUGAAGAAGGCCUUUUGGUUGUAAAGCACUUUAAGCGAGGAGGAGGCUACCGAGAUUAAUACUCUUGGAUAGUGGACGUUACUCGCAGAAUAAGCACCGGCUAACUCUGUGCCAGCAGCCGCGGUAAUACAGAGGGUGCGAGCGUUAAUCGGAUUUACUGGGCGUAAAGCGUGCGUAGGCGGCCAUUUAAGUCAAAUGUGAAAUCCCCGAGCUUAACUUGGGAAUUGCAUUCGAUACUGGAUGGCUAGAGUAUGGGAGAGGAUGGUAGAAUUCCAGGUGUAGCGGUGAAAUGCGUAGAGAUCUGGAGGAAUACCGAUGGCGAAGGCAGCCAUCUGGCCUAAUACUGACGCUGAGGUACGAAGGCAUGGGGAGCAAACAGGAUUAGAUACCCUGGUAGUCC
rnacentral:rRNA from 1 species